AAGUUAUUCCCUUCAUCUGCAAGUAGCCAUAAUAUUUUGGCUCAUCUGUGUAUGCAAAACUAUGCCUGUUGAAGUAGCAUAACUGGUAACAUAUAGAAAGAGAUUUUCUGUAAGGCCAUUUAUUGUGUAAAACCAUUUUCACUGAGGCAAGAGCUUAAACACUCAGUGGUGCGGAGCAAACUCGGCCAAUUAAUUAAAAUAACACACUUUAACCCACUCACUUACUUUUUAAAUAUUUUUAUUUAGGACAUUUAUUUCCUGCUGACAGUUUACCUUUCUACAACCCCAAUUUCAAAAAAGUUGGGAUGCUGUGUAAAACGUAAAACCCAUAAACCCAUAUGUUAUUCACAGAAGAACAUAGAAAACAUAUCAAAUGUUAAAAUUGAGUAAAUGUACCAUUUAAAGAAAAUAUUAAGGUAAUUUUGAAAGACUCUGCCUCACUAAGAUACUCUUUUUAUGUUACUGGCCAGUUGCCAAUUAAACUCCAGCUGUUUAUUUUUAGUAGCACUUACCUUUCCAGCCUUUUGUUGCCCUCGUCCCAAGUUUUUUUGACACAUGUUGCGGCCAUCAAAUUCAAAAUUAUCAAAUUUUUUUCUUAAAAUCGUACAUUUCCACAUUUGAUAUAUUUUCUAUAUUCUACUGUGAACAACAUAUGGGUUUAUGAGAUUUUCAAAUCAUUGAAUCAUUGCAUUCUGCUUUUAUUUACAUUUUGCACUGCGUCCCAACUUUUUCGGACUUGGGGUUGUACAAAGUUUAACUGGCUUCUGAGCCUUUACUAUAACAAAUGUCAUAUGCAAACUGGGGCUGUUCUUGACAGCCUGUUGACCUUGGAAUAGGGACGAUCUUCAGCAUACAACAGACUGAUUUUCAUUUCGACCUUUCCUAGGUCUUCUGACCAGAGUCUUCUUAUUUGAACAAAACCAAAAGGCAUGGAAAUGAAGGGAAAUGAAUAUGUCCAUGUACAUCCUCAAAGCUCAGAAGAGAAAAGCAGCGAGAGAUGGUUUACUUUAUUGUUGAAUUAUUUCUAUGCCUGCUGUAGCAAUAUACUGCAGUUAUCUGUGUGACCUUUAAGAUAAAUAAUAAAAAACAAAAUGAUUAAGGCGAUUCCCACCGUGGCCCUGUGUGUGCAGAGUUUGCGUGUUCUCCCCGUGCUGCGGGGGGUUCCUCCGGGUACUCCGGUUUUCUCCCCCAGUCCAAAGACAUGCAUGGUAGGCUGAUUGGCGUGUCCAAAGUGUCCGUAGUGUAUGAAUGGGUGUGUGAGUGUGUGUGUGAUUGUGCCCUGCGAUGGAUUGGCACCCUGUCCAGGGUGUACCUCGCCUUGUGCCUGAUGCUUCCUGGAAUAGGCUCCAGGUUCUCCGUGACCCUGAAAAGGAUUUGCGGUAUAGAAGAUGGAUGGAUGGAUGAUUAAGGCAAAUAGUUCUUUCAUAAAGCUUAGCUAGUCAACUACAGCUAUUGAAGUAGCAUAUCUGUUAACAUAUGGAAAGGGUUAGAUUUCCAGAGAUUUCCAGAGAUUUUCUAAUGGCUGAAGUUCGUGCCCGAAGGCGUGUUUUGCAGGUUCCCUUUCCUAAACCAGAUUCAGAAGUCACUUGUGUUUUCUGAAAUGAUCAUGGUUAUAUCUGUAACCCAGUAGCUGCCAAGGUCUAAUGUAAAUGGAUUUAUCGAAAAAUUGAAUUUUAUUCACAUCUCUUAGUGAGGUCACAUUCGUGCCACAGCUCAAGACAACGAUAUAAAAAUGAGCGCUUCAGCCACCGUAAACAUCUCACUGCAGGAUGAAAAUGACACCACUCCAGUUUUUAGAAGAGACGUAUACCAUUUCAGACAGUCCGGACCCGCAGUCUGUUUUCCCUUGAUGGGAAAGUUGAACACCACAGAUGUCUGCUGUUUGCUGUCUGACACCAGACUAAAAAACAGAUUUGAUCAUGGUUCGAGGAAAGGAAUUGUCGUCAGAGAAGCGUGCACAAAUCUUCAUUUUGCACAAACAGCAGAUGUCUAGUAGGGAAAUUUCCAAAAAAAAAACUGAACAUGCAAGUCCACUGUUGUCGCCACAGUCAAAAGAGCAACUGAACUUUCAUGAACAAAUAUAUAGUGAUUGCAAACUUUUGGCCAUGACUAUAGAUAUAGAUAUAAAUAUAGAUAUAUAUAGAUGUAGAUAUAGAUAUAUAU
ensembl:lncRNA